AUUCACUCAGAUAUUCUUUUUGUUGGAGAAAAUCUUUAAUAUAAGCUUUUAAUAUUCUCUAGAUGCUUCCUCCUGCAGUCGUGGGGGUACAUAUAAUGAUAUUAAUUAAUCAAAAAAAGAAAUUAAGAUAAUGCAUGAAAACUGAAAUUCAUUGAACUUGCAACAUUAAAUUGAAAGAGAAACUAAGCGUCAGACUAUUCCUACUUCGACAUAGAAGAAAAAAAGUCCUAACGUGUGAUAAAUGAAAAGGCUCCAAAUCCUAAUUAAUACGACUCAAAAACUUCUUAAUCAGGAGUUGAAACUCUUCUAUGUAUACACUAUAACUUGAUUUUCCAACAUAAUUCAGAAAAAAAUAAAAGAAUAUGGAUAUGAUCAAAGUUGGCCCCGUGGGAGGACGUGGUGGAUUCAUGUGGGAUGAAGAGGGAGGUGAAUUAGCAGGGAUUCUUGUUUCCUAUUGCGAUAACACAGUUUUUUCACUUCAGUUCUUGAAUUAUGAGAUGGAAACUUAGUUAUAUCAGAUAAAUAUGGUAUUCGUCAGUGUGAUAUUUACUCUGCAAUUAUC
rnacentral:lncRNA from 1 species